rnacentral:rRNA from 1 species
UACGUAGGGUGCAAGCGUUAAUCGGAAUUACUGGGCGUAAAGCGUGCGCAGGCGGUUUUGUAAGUCAGAUGUGAAAUCCCCGGGCUUAACCUGGGAACUGCGUUUGAAACUACAAGGCUAGAGUGUGGCAGAGGGGGGUGGAAUUCCACGUGUAGCAGUGAAAUGCGUAGAGAUGUGGAGGAACACCGAUGGCGAAGGCAGCCCCCUGGGUUAACACUGACGCUCAGGCACGAAAGCGUGGGGAGCAAACAGGGAUUAGA